CCUACGGGAGGCAGCAGUGGGGAAUAUUGCACAAUGGGGGAAACCCUGAUGCAGCGACGCCGCGUGAGUGAAGAAGUAUCUCGGUACGUAAAGCUCUAUCAGCAGGGAAGAAAAUGACGGUACCUGAUUAAGAAGCCCCGGCUAACUACGUGCCAGCAGCCGCGGUAAUACGUAGGGGGCAAGCGUUAUCCGGAUUUACUGGGUGUAAAGGGAGCGUAGACGGCAGCGCAAGUCUGGAGUGAAAUGCCGGGGCCCAACCCCGGAACUGCUUUGGAAACUGUGCAGCUCGAGUGCAGGAGAGGUAAGCGGAAUUCCUAGUGUAGCGGUGAAAUGCGUAGAUAUUAGGAGGAACACCAGUGGCGAAGGCGGCUUACUGGACUGUAACUGACGUUGAGGCUCGAAAGCGUGGGGAGCAAACAGGAUUAGAUACCCCAGUAGU
rnacentral:rRNA from 1 species